ensembl:lncRNA
AGUUCCUUGAUUCCUAGGCUAAUUCAUCUGACAACAGCUGAAGGAGAUCUUUGCAUCUCACAAUCUCUAUCCUCUGUUUUUUAAAGUUUUCUGGUAGAGAAUGUAAAUUCUGAUGAGAAGAACAGCUCUCCCCCUCUUUUCCAUUUCCUUCUUCCAAGGCUGUGGUGUAAGCUGCACUGACUCUAUCAUCCAGGAAGACAAGAGAAAAAUUGGAUUUUGGGGACAGAAACUCGGCAUCUCAGUAAUUGUCAGGACAAGGGAGCUAAGAUUGGCACAGCUUCUGUUCCUUUCUACCAGGAAUUUUACAAGGCAUACAUUAGAGAGAAGAGGAGAUCACAGAAGAUCAUUUUUUUUCCAUAUCAUGAAGGCCUUUAGGACAUAGCAAUAACAGCAAGAUACUUUGUUAAAUGCUGAAGAUACAAAGACAAAAAUGAAAUGACUCGUCCUCAAGAAGCUUAUGUUCUAAAGGAGAAGGGAAAAUAUGCACAUAAAAAGGUAUGGGAGGAACAUGGGAUUUCCAUUUACUCAGUUGAUAUAGAAACUGAAGGUGAUGUGAAUUACUCAGUAUUAGUUAACUAAACAAAUUAAGUAUCAUAUCCAGACUCCAACUCAGCUUUUCUAUCUCCUAGGACCAAUGUGUUUCUUUUUUCUAUUACCACAAUUCCUUUCUAAGUGGAAGGCAAGGAAGAGAACAUGAAUUGUAAAAUGUCAGAAAACAAUUAUUAAAAAUUGUAUCAUCAUGAAAUCUAGAAAAAAAGAAAAAUGUCCUAAAAAAGGUAAAACGAUUGGAAAUCCUAAAAACAAAAUGAUGACCUUGUCUCAGCUGCUGCCUUUCCUUCUGACAAGAGAUAGAAGUUAUGCACCUUGAGUUUCUCACUUCCACUUCCCUUUAACUGGACUUUGUGCCAAACCAGCUAGGAAGGAUUUCAUCUUGAAACAGUGAUAAGGCUCCAAGCCCUGGGUCCAUAGGCUUUGCUCUAAUCCUCCAGCCUGGGAAAAUUAGUCACCUAGAAAACACCCAAACACAGCAGUACUUUUCCACCUAGCCCAAGUGAAAACUUAGAAUUGUCCAGCACUUAGAAUGUGGUGGUUGCCAUUAUUAGAGCAUAUUACCAGCUGAUUGGUCAAGUCCCUAGUAAUCAGGAUUCUGGGAGAUGGAGAGGGGACACAUAAUCAUCCAGGCUGUGCAUCAUGAGAUAGCUUGGAACAAAAGAAAGUAUGCUGAUUCUGGAGCUAGAGGAGGUGGGGUCAAAUCCCCUCCCUGCUGUGUACUAGUUGGAUGUCCUCAAGGGAGUCAUUUGAUUUCUUCAGACCUCAGUUAACUCAUCUGUAAAACAAGGACACUGAACUGUGUGACAUGAACUCACUCCUCAUGGGGACUCUUGGUUUAUAUCUGUUUCUCUUUGUGCCUAAGAUAAACUUUGCUUUAUUCCAUAAAUUCCAUUUCCUCUUAAUUUGAAGCUAAGCAUCCAUGCUUGUCCAUCAGACUACAUGCCCAUAAUGAGAUUGAAAGAGUACCUAAAUGAGGCAUAGCCGACAUAGGUUUUAGGGUUGGCUCUGUUGCUAAUGAGUCAUGUAAUCUCUCUCUUGGUCUCAGUUUCCUUUUUCUAUAAAAUAAAGGUUAAAAAUAAAAUACCUUUUAUGAUUCC